rnacentral:rRNA from 1 species
CACCUGGUUUAUCAAAAACAUCUCUUUAUGAUUAAAAUAUAAAGUUUAACCUGCCCACUGAAAUUUAAAUGGCUGCAGUAUAUUGACUGUACAAAGGUAGCAUAAUCAUUAGUUUUUUAAUUGAAAACUGGAAUGAAUGGUUGGAUGAAAUAUAAACUGUUUUAUAAAAAAUUUAAUAGAAUUUUAUUUUUUAGUAAAAAAGCUAAAAUAAAUUUAAAAGACGAGAAGACCCUAUAAAUCUUUAUAUAAUAAUAUAAAAAUAAAUUAUUUAGAAGAUUUAAUUAUUUUAUUUUAUUAUAUUUUAUUGGGGAGAUAGUAAAAUUUAAUGAACUUUUAUUUUUUAUAUCAUUAAUUUAUGAAUUAUAGAUUAAUUAUUAAUGCAUAAUAAAAUAAGUUACUUUAGGGAUAACAGCGUAAUUAUUUUGGAGAGUUCAUAUCGAUAAAAUAGAUUGCGACCUCGAUGUUGGAUUAAAAUAAUUUUUUGGG